CCCUGGGAAGGAUCAUUCGCACAGGCUUUGUGGACCAGUGUGUGUUAACAUCGGGAUGUUGGUCUUUGUGCUGCUCAGGCUGACAGCUAAUGAUGCAGUGCAAUGACCUGCGGGCGACCAUGCAGGCAGGUCUUUCCGUGAAAUCUGCCAUGGUUGCUGGUAUUGUGCCUGAUGCUUAACACAUUGUUUUGAUGUGAAUGCAUGCGCUCGUGUUGUUCAGUAAUGGAUGCCUUGGUCUGAAAAUCGAUGAAGAGUACAGCGAAAUGUGAUAUGCAUUGUGAACUGCAGACUUCCGUGAGUCAAUGGCUUGUUGAACGUUUGCUGUGCUUUUGGGAUAUGCCUGAAGGCGCGCCUGCUUCAGCGUCUGUUCCAGCAUGUGCAUGCCGUGCAACUGUAUUUUCUCUAAGUGGCAGCGGUACUGUGGGCCUUUGCAUGUUACAGUGCUAACGUGUAGAGCUCAAUGCGAACUUGUUGGCGAGCAUUUUGUGGGACAGGAAGUGCUUAAGCGAGUGCUUAGCUUGCGCGAAGAAAGCAGCGGGCAUUUGUGGACUUGGAAGACA
rnacentral:rRNA from 1 species